UCCAGACUUGCCAAAGUUCUGUGAUGGACAAAGAGCAGCAAAAGAUGCCACUUUGCUCAACACCAGACGUGAGCCUUACACAUGGACCUGUGGUGACUCAUUUGCAACCAAUUGAUGUCCCCUUAGACCGUCCACCACCACCACCUAAGAGACGAAAGUCUAAUCAGUCUGUAUACCUAAGAGUCAAAAGACCAGGUAUGCUGGGAGUCUCUGGAUACCUGACUUAGAUCUACGUUACAGGGAUAGGGCAGUUGUAAAGAGAGGAAAACUAUGUGACAAGCAUAUGUAUGCUGCCCAUGAAGUGCUGAGGUAUCAGUUCCCUCAUCUGCAUGGUCUUCAAUCGACAUUACUUACUCAAAAAGAGUUUAAAGCAAUUCAAUGUCAUGACUCUGUUGUAAGAGCCGUUCAGAUACUAUUUGUUGAGGAAAGAGAGCACUGGGUUGUUUCCAGCCUCACCAAUGGAAAACUGAGGCUAUAUGACAGCUGUUCAACUGGAGGAUUAACCUCAAGUCUUCAAGUACAGCUAGCUCAAAUAUACGGC